rnacentral:rRNA from 1 species
AUGAACGCUAGCGGCAGGCUUAAUACAUGCAAGUCGAACGGUAACAGGCGUAGCAAUACGCGCUGACGAGUGGCGCACGGGUGCGUAACACGUAUGCAACCUUCCUUCAACUGGAGAAUAGCCCGAAGAAAUUCGGAUUAACUCUCCAUGGUAAAACAGAGCGGCAUCGCUUUGUUUUUAAACCUCCGGGGGUCGAAGAUGGGCAUGCGUUGCAUUAGCUAGUUGGCGGGGUAACAGCCCACCAAGGCUUCGAUGCAUAGGGGUUCUGAGAGGAUUAACCCCCACACUGGUACUGAGACACGGACCAGACUCCUACGGGAGGCAGCAGUAAGGAAUAUUGGACAAUGGGGGCAACCCUGAUCCAGCCAUGCCGCGUGAAGGAUGAAGGCCCUAUGGGUCGUAAACUUCUUUUGAACGGGAGAAAACCCUCGUACGUGUACGAGGCUGAUAGUACCGUUAGAAUAAGGAUCGGCUAACUCCGU